UACGUAGGGUGCAAGCGUUGUCCGGAAUUAUUGGGCGUAAAGAGCUCGUAGGCGGUCUGUCACGUCGGCUGUGAAAACCCGGGGCUUAACCCCGGGCCUGCAGUGGGUACGGGCAGACUAGAGUGCGGUAGGGGAGACUGGAAUUCCUGGUGUAGCGGUGAAAUGCGCAGAUAUCAGGAGGAACACCGGUGGCGAAGGCGGGUCUCUGGGCCGUAACUGACGCUGAGGAGCGAAAGCGUGGGGAGCGAACAGG
rnacentral:rRNA from 1 species